UACGUAGGUGGCAAGCGUUGUCCGGAAUUAUUGGGCGUAAAGGGCGCGCAGGCGGUUUCUUAAGUCUGUCUUAAAAGUGCGGGGCUUAACCCCGUGAGGGGACGGAAACUGGGAGACUUGAGUAUCGGAGAGGAAAGCAGAAUUCCUAGUGUAGCGGUGAAAUGCGUAGAUAUUAGGAGGAAUACCAGUGGCGAAAGCGGCUUUCUGGACGACAACUGACGCUGAGGCGCGAAAGCCAGGGGAGCGAACGGG
rnacentral:rRNA from 1 species